rnacentral:lncRNA from 1 species
ACUAACAGUGUAUUCAAUUUGAUCUGUGCAGUGAAAAUGUUCUCUUAUACGAAAAACACAACUGUAUAAUGUUUUAGAUUUAGUGUGGUAGACCAACUGUUAGAGAAAGGUGUCUCAUUUUUUAUGGAAUCAUACACAGAUUUAUAUCAACACUUUACAAGUAAUGCAAUCAUUAUGUAGAUAUAAUCAUAGUAUUUUUGUCAACUGUACAAUUUUGCACACACACACACACACACAACCUGCAAUUUUUUCAUCACUACUACUACUUCUUCUCAAUUGUGGGACGUUCUGUUGUCUGUUUUCUUUUGGUUCUCUGCUUCUUUCGAGUGUUUCGUUUUGAUAUCAUUUUUAAUGUGACAUCCUUUGUACUAUUAUUUUCUAGAACACAGCCUUUACACUUUGAAACUGUUUGAUUAUCGAGAAACUGAGAAAUAUAUGACUUGUGAAAAAGAUAUCUAUAUGUAAAUAGGAAUAAUGAUAACUAUGUCAUUUACAAGUGCUACACAAACAAGCUGUCGAGGUGUUCUUGAAGAGUCGCAGCUUGGCUGUGCAUACGCGAAGACUUCCCUUCAUGUUGUUUACAAGUAUACCUAAUUAGAGGUGUUUGUCACAUAUCUCAUUUUUUCUUUAUUUUGUAUUUAUAAAAGUUUCAAUUGCAUAAAAUACAAACAAAAGAGCAGCUCCAGUUUACCCGGCUGCAAAUAUCCUCUUGUGUACUGUGUGCAUCACAUCACACAACUUGGCAAAAAUAUCUUACCCACUGCUGUGAUUCUGCUCUUUCUGUCUUUAAGUACGUGUUGUGGACAGGCUUUCUCCUUGUCACAUACGCGAAGACUUCCCUUCAUGUUGUUUACAAGUAUACCUAAUUAGAGGUGUUUGUCACAUAUCUCAUUUUUUCUUUAUUUUGUAUUUAUAAAAGUUUCAAUUGCAUAAAAUACAAACAAAAGAGCAGCUCCAGUUUACCCGGCUGCAAAUAUCCUCUUGUGUACUGUGUGCAUCACAUCACACAACUUGGCAAAAAUAUCUUACCCACUGCUGUGAUUCUGCUCUUUCUGCUUUAAGUACGUGUUGUGGACAGGCUUUCUCCUUGUCAUUGUAUGUGCAUGCACUAUGAUCUGCAUAACAAUAACCAUCAAUAAAGUUUCUCAAGAUAACGGGAAUUUGUCUCGGAAUUUCUUUGCACCAUGCUGGCUGCCGGAUCUUAUAUUCAGAUGAUGGAGUGCGUUUGUCCUCUGAUCUGAUUUCAUUGACUAAAAUUGUAUUGAAAAAGCUCAAGGCGAAGAGGAAAUGAUCAUCUCCGAGGAGGUUAAGUGGAAUUGAUGCUGCCAGGUCUGAGGUGGUCAUCUGUACGCCUUUAAGAAGACUCUGUGUUUAGGAUGAAGGAGCGAGAUCGGAUUCCUGCGGUCUGAUUAGGUUAUCCCACACACUUUCAGGGUUAUGAAACAUCUCCGGUCUGCAGAUAUUUCCAAAAAGGAAGCCGCAAUAUGGGCUUAUUUUAAGGUGCAGUUGAGGUUUGAAUCAAGAAAGUGGAGCACAAUCACAAAUAGCUGUCGUAUUUUUUUUCAUUUGCAUAACGGAAUGACACGAAUGACAAUAUUCUGAACGUGCUGUGAGGAACAUACUUUGGAGAAUGAUGGCACCCUGAACCUGUCUGCCCCGCGUAACUGUAAGUAGCAGAUAUUCAUUAUCUUUCGCUCAUUUCGCUAAGGUAUGACGGAAUUUCAUAAAUUAUGUAUAGUACAGAUAGUUUUAAUGUAUAGUACAGAUAGUUCUAAUUGAAGAAAGAAGAAUUACCCCACAUUCUCGAUUUGAUCAGUGUAAUUGAAAAACUUAGCCAGGGUUCUUGGAAAGAUAAGCAAUAUAAAUGUUUAAAUGUGAUGAAGGAGUCACAUUAUGCUAGGUAAUUACAACACCUCUUCACAGAAAUGGGUGAUCAAUAAUUAACGUAUCUUGGGUCACAAGUCCGGGACAUAAUUUAAAAUUGGUUAUUAAUUCUAUUAUGAAAAAUGUACAUUCUCUUCAGAUUAUGUUGCCGAGUCCACAGGGAGAGGUAAAGGAGGUCUGGUGGUUUUAAUUCAGUCUCUCUCUCACUCGCCGCUCGGUCCCUCUUCCCACCGGCUCUAUGAGAGCUGUCAGUAAUGUGAUGAUUUAUGUUUCUGAAUUAAAUCAUGUAUUAAAUGAAGUAAUUUGGGUCUCUUUGCUCAGUUUGAUUGGCUGAAUGAGACUGGAUUGAUUAUCAUGCAGAUUGGAGGGAGUGGACGCUGGCCUUCUCGAGAUCGGUCAGCUGUUGCUCUCUC